rnacentral:rRNA from 1 species
GUUGUAUGGUUAAGUGACUAAGCGUACACGGUGGAUGCCUAGGCAAUCAGAGGCGAUGAAGGACGUGUAAGUCUGCGAUAAGCCUGGAUGAGGUGACAAAACCCGUUAUAGUCCAGGAUUUCCGAAUGGGGCAACCCACCUCUACGAGGUAUCAUUACGUGAAUACAUAGCGUAAUGAGGCAAACCCGGGGAACUGAAACAUCUAAGUACCCGGAGGAAAAGAAAUCAACCGAGAUUCCCCUAGUAGCGGCGAGCGAACGGGGAGUAGCCGAUAGAUUAUGUUGUAGCAGAAGCGUAUGGAAAGGCGCACGAUACAGGGUGAUAGUCCCGUAUGUGAAGCAGCAUAGUUUACAUAUUAAGUAGGUCGGGACACGUGUUAUCUUGACUGAAGAUGGGGGGACCAUCCUCCAAGGCUAAAUACUCCUGAUUGACCGAUAGUGAACCAGUACCGUGAGGGAAAGGCGAAAAGAACCCCGGCGAGGGGAGUGAAAUAGAACCUGAAACCGUGUACGUACAAGCAGUGGGAGCCCUUCGAGGGUGACUGCGUACCUUUUGUAUAAUGGGUCAGCGACUUAUAUUCUGUAGCGAGGUUAACCGCAUAGGGGAGCCGUAGCGAAAGCGAGUCUUAACUGGGCGCUUAGUUGCAGGGUAUAGACCCGAAACCCGGUGAUCUAGCCAUGGGCAGGUUGAAGGUUGAGUAACAUCAACUGGAGGACCGAACCCACGCCUGUUGAAAAAGGCGGGGAUGACCUGUGGCUGGGGGUGAAAGGCCAAUCAAACCGGGAGAUAGCUGGUUCUCCCCGAAAGCUAUUUAGGUAGCGCCUCGGACGAAUACCACAGGGGGUAGAGCACUGUUUGGGCUAGGGGGUCAUCCCGACUUACCAACCCCAUGCAAACUCCGAAUACCUGUGAGUACUAUCCGGGAGACACACGGCGGGUGCUAACGUCCGUCGUGAAGAGGGACACAACCCAGACCGCCAGCUAAGGUCCCUAAAUAUCACUAAGUGGGAAACGAAGUGGGAAGGCUAAGACAGCUAGGAGGUUGGCUUAGAAGCAGCCACCCUUUAAAGAAAGCGUAAUAGCUCACUAGUCGAGUCGGCCUGCGCGGAAGAUGUAACGGGGCUAAGUGAUAUACCGAAGCUGCGGCAGCAUACUAGUUAUGCUGGGUAGGGGAGCGUUGUGUAAGUCUGUGAAGGUGGAUUGAGAAGUCUGCUGGAGAUAUCACAAGUGCGAAUGCUGACAUGAGUAACGAUAAUGGGGGUGAAAAACCCCCACGCCGAAAGACCAAGGUUUCCUGUCCCAUGCUAAUCAGGGCAGGGUAAGUCGGCCCCUAAGGCGAGGCAGAAAUGCGUAGUCGAUGGGAAACGGGUUAAUAUUCCCGUACUUAUAUAAUCAGUGAUGGAGGGACGGAGAAGGCUAUGCAGGCGUGGCGUUGGUUGUCCACGUGAAAGUGUGUAGGGAGUGAUGUUAGGCAAAUCCGGCAUCAUAAUCCUGAGACACGAGACGAGCCACUACGGUGGUGAAGUUGCAGAUGCCCUGCUUCCAGGAAAAGCUUCUAAACUUAUGAUUAUGUAAACCGUACCCCAAACCGACACAGGUGGUCAGGUAGAGAAUACUAAGGCGCUUGAGAGAACUCGGGUGAAGGAACUCGGCAAAAUAGUACCGUAACUUCGGGAGAAGGUACGCCCCUGGACGUGAAGGACUUGCUCCGUAAGCGUCUGGGGGUCGCAGUGACCAGGUGGCUGGGACUGUUUAUUAAAAACACAGCACUCUGCAAACUCGAAAGAGGACGUAUAGGGUGUGACACCUGCCCGGUGCCGGAAGGUUAAUUGAUGGGGUUAGCGCAAGCGAAGCUCUUGAUCGAAGCCCCGGUAAACGGCGGCCGUAACUAUAACGGUCCUAAGGUAGCGAAAUUCCUUGUCGGGUAAGUUCCGACCUGCACGAAUGGUGUAACCAUGGCCACGCUGUCUCCACCCGAGACUCAGUGAAAUUGAAAUCGCUGUGAAGAUGCAGUGUACCCGCACCUAGACGGAAAGACCCCGUGAACCUUUACUACAGCUUGGCACUGAACAUUGAACCUACUUGUGUAGGAUAGGUGGGAGGCUUUGAAGCGCGGACGCCAGUUCGUGUGGAGCCGUCCUUGAAAUACCACCCUGGUAUGUUUGAUGUUCUAACGUAGGUCCCUCAUCGGGAUUGCGGACAGUGUCUGGUGGGUAGUUUGACUGGGGCGGUCUCCUCCCAAAGAGUAACGGAGGAGCACGAAGGUUAGCUAAUCACGGUCGGACAUCGUGAGGUUAGUGCAAUGGCAUAAGCUAGCUUAACUGCGAGACAGACACGUCGAGCAGGUACGAAAGUAGGUCAUAGUGAUCCGGUGGUUCUGUAUGGAAGGGCCAUCGCUCAACGGAUAAAAGGUACUCCGGGGAUAACAGGCUGAUACCGCCCAAGAGUUCAUAUCGACGGCGGUGUUUGGCACCUCGAUGUCGGCUCAUCACAUCCUGGGGCUGAAGUCGGUCCCAAGGGUAUGGCUGUUCGCCAUUUAAAGUGGUACGCGAGCUGGGUUUAGAACGUCGUGAGACAGUUCGGUCCCUAUCUGGUGUGGGCGUUGGAUGAUUGAGAGGGGCUGCUCCUAGUACGAGAGGACCGGAGUGGACGAACCGCUGGUGUUCGGGUUGUGAUGCCAAUCGCAUUGCCCGGUAGCUACGUUCGGAAUCGAUAACCGCUGAAAGCAUCUAAGCGGGAAGCGAGCCUCGAGAUGAGUCAUCCCUAGGACUUUAAGUCCUCUAAAGGGUCGUUGAAGACCACGACGUUGAUAGGCAGGGUGUGGAAGCGUUGUAAGGCGUUAAGCUAACCUGUACUAAUUGCCCGUGAGGCUUAACCAUACAACCCAGAA